CGGGGUGUGGCUCAGCCUGGUCUAGAGCACUCGCUUGGGGUGCGAGAGAUCGGCCGUUCGAAUCGGCUCACCCCGA
rnacentral:tRNA from 1 species